GAAGGACGUGUGAGGCUGCGUUAAGCCUCGGGGAGUUGCCAAUAAAGCGUUGAUCCGAGGAUGUCCGAAUGGGGAAACCUGGCCGUGGUUAUGUGCGGUUACCCACUGGUGAAUGCAUAGCUGGUGUGGGGGUUACGCGGGGAAGUGAAACAUCUCAGUACCCGUAGGAGAAGAAAACAAUUGUGAUUCUGCUAGUAGUGGCGAGCGAACGUGGAUGAGGCUAAACCAUGUGCAUGUGAUACCUGGCAGGGGUUGUGUGUGUGGUGUUGUGGGGUUCAACUGUUCCUGGUCUGCCAGCUGGGUGCGCAAUGUCAAUGCUGUUAGCGGAAGUGGUUUGGGAUGACCUGCCGUAGAGGGUGAGAGUCCCGUACGUGAAGGUGGUGUUGGUUGUGUUGUUGGUGUCCCCGAGUAGCAGCGGGCUCGUGGAAUCUGCUGUGAAUCUGCCGGGACCACCCGGUAAGCCUAAAUACUCAAGUUGACCGAUAGCGGAUCAAGUACCGUGAGGGAAUGGUGAAAA
rnacentral:rRNA from 1 species